rnacentral:misc_RNA from 1 species
GUGAAUCAUCGAAUUUUUGAACGCAAAUUGCACUCUCCGGUUUUCCGGGAAAGUAUGCCUGUUUGGGGUUCUGUUUAAAAAAUAAUCGAGGCUGCUGCUGUGGUGGCUCUUCGGAAUUGGGUCAUCUUUCACCUUUCGGUUGUAAGCGACCUAAAAUUUUUUUUACGUUUUCUACGAACGUGUCUAAGAUUUUCUUUUACUUUCACGACAUCGAAUUCAUAUUAGGGUUGACCGCCGCGUCGGGUCCGCUCCCAUAGUAUUUCA